rnacentral:tRNA from 1 species
AGGUGCUUAGCUCAGUUGGUAGAGCGGUGGAUUCCAAAUCCAUUGGUCUGGGGUUCGAUUCCUCAAGCGCCUG